rnacentral:rRNA from 1 species
UACGGGGGGGGCAAGCGUUGUUCGGAAUUACUGGGCGUAAAGGGCCAGUAGGCGGCCAACUAAGUCGGAUGUGAAAUCCCCAGGCUCAACUUGGGAACUGCGUCCGAUACUGGAAGGCUUGAAUCCGGGAGAGGGAUGCGGAAUUCCAGGUGUAGCGGUGAAAUGCGUAGAUAUCGGGAGAACACCAGUGGCGAAGGCGGCGAUCUGGGAAGAUACUGACGCUGAGGUGCGAAAGCGUGGGGAGCAAACAGG